rnacentral:rRNA from 1 species
UACGUAGGCGGAAAAUUAAGUCAGUAGUGAAAUCCUGCAGCUUAACUGUAGAACUGUCAUUGAUACUGGUUUUCUUGAAUAUAGUUGAGGUAGGCGGAAUGUGUAAUGUAGCGGUGAAAUGCUUAGAUAUUACACAGAACACCGAUUGCGAAGGCAGCUUACUAAACUAUGAUUGACGCUGAGGUACGAAAGCGUGGGGAGCGAACAGGAUUAGAUACCCUGGUAGUCC